rnacentral:rRNA from 1 species
AUUGAACGCUGGCGGCGUGCCUAACACAUGCAAGUCGAGCGGUAACAGGUGUAGCAAUACAUGCUGACGAGCGGCGGACGGGUGAGUAACGCUUGGGAAUCUGCCUAUUAGUGGGGGACAACCCGGGGAAACUCGGGCUAAUACCGCAUACGCACUACGGUGGAAAGCCGGGGACCGCAAGGCCUGGCGCUAACAGAUGAGCCCAAGUCGGAUUAGCUAGUUGGUAGGGUAACGGCCUACCAAGGCGACGAUCCGUAACUGGUCUGAGAGGACGACCAGUCACACCGGAACUGAGACACGGCCCAGACUCCUACGGGAGGCAGCAGUGGGGAAUUUUGGACAAUGGGGGCAACCCUGAUCCAGCCAUUCCGCGUGAGUG